AAACUACUUCCUCCGUCCAACAAAAGAUAUCUCAAUUUUGACUAAAUUUGAAUGCAUCUAUACACUAAGUCAUGUCUAGAUACAUCCAAAUUUUGACAAACUUGAGAAAUCUUUUGUUGGACGGAGGGAGUACAAA
rnacentral:pre_miRNA from 1 species